AUCGCUUCUCGGCCUUUUGGCUAAGAUCAAGUGUAGUAGCUGUUCUUAUCUUAUCAGCUGUUCUUACACUCACAAGAAAUAAAUUGAUGGUAUGCCCCCCCAAAGUUUGGGUUGAGCCUUUGAAGAGAACAAUCUUUCCUUAGUUUCAUAAUGACUAGCUUGUGUUCUGUAUUAAUCUUCAUGGCUCUGACCUUCUCAUCCAUAAAUGUCAGGAGUGUUAGGUCUAAAGUAA
ensembl:snRNA U2 U2 spliceosomal RNA